AACUUAAAGGAAUUGACGGGGGCCCGCACAAGCGGUGGAGUAUGUGGUUUAAUUCGAUGCAACGCGAAGAACCUUACCUGGUCUUGACAUCCCGGAGACCCUUAGGAAACUAGGGGGUGCUUCCAUCUGGAAGAAUCUGGAGACAGGUGCUGCAUGGCUGUCGUCAGCUCGUGUCGUGAGAUGUUGGGUUAAGUCCCGCAACGAGCGCAACCCUUGCCUUUAGUUGCCAGCAGUUCGGCUGGGCACUCUAAAGGGACUGCCGGUGUUAAACCGGAGGAAGGUGGGGAUGACGUCAAGUCAUCGUGGCCCUUACGGCCUGGGCUACACACGUGCUACAAUGGUCGGUACAAAGGGUUGCCAAGCCGCGAGGUGGAGCUAAUCCCAUAAAACCGAUCGUAGUCCGGAUCGCAGUCUGCAACUCGACUGCGUGAAGUCGGAAUCGCUAGUAAUCGUGAAUCAGAAUGUCACGGUGAAUACGUUCCCGGGCCUU
rnacentral:rRNA from 1 species